AGGCUUAACACAUGCAAGUCGAGCGGGCACUUUCGGGUGUCAGCGGCGGACGGGUGAGUAACGCGUGGGAACGUGCCCUCUGGUUCGGAAUAACUCAGGGAAACUUGAGCUAAUACCGGAUACGCCCUUUUGGGGAAAGGCUUGCUGCCGGAGGAUCGGCCGCGUCUGAUUAGCUAGUUGGUGAGGUAACGGCUCACCAAGGCGACGAUCAGUAGCUGGUCUGAGAGGAUGAUCAGCCACACUGGGACUGAGACACGGCCCAGACUCC
rnacentral:rRNA from 1 species